rnacentral:rRNA from 1 species
AUGGCCAUGGCAUUCUUCCUCCUUGCCGCGGCGGCGUCAGCGGCUGUCGCCGGAGCCUCCUGGAGCCCGCGGCCAGAGGGCGACCUCGUCACCGGGCUCCCUGGGCAACCAGAGGUCGGGUUCAAGCACUACGCCGGCUACGUCGACGUCGGAACGGGCGGCGACAAGGCGCUCUUCUACUGGUUCUUCGAGGCCGAGCAGGAGCCGGAGAAGAAGCCCCUCAUGCUGUGGCUCAACGGAGGGCCCGGGUGCUCGUCCAUCGCCUACGGCGCGGCCCAGGAGCUGGGCCCGUUCCUGGUCAGGGGCUACGGCGCGAACCUCACCCGCAACGCCUACGCGUGGAACAAAGCCGUGAACCUGCUGUUCCUGGAGGCGCCGGUGGGCGUGGGGUUCUCCUACACCAACAAGACGGCGGACCUGGGCCGCCUCGGCGACCGCGUGACGGCGCAGGACUCGUACACCUUCCUCCUCAACUGGCUCGCCAAGUUCCCGGAGUUCAAGGGCCGCGACUUCUACAUCGCCGGAGAGAGCUACGCCGGGCACUACGUCCCGCAGCUCGCAGAUCUCAUCUACGAGGGGAACAAAGCGGCGGGCAGAGGCAGCAUCAUCAACCUCAAAGGCUUCAUGAUUGGCAACGCGGUGCUGAACGACGAGACGGACCAGCUGGGCAUGGUGGAGUACGCGUGGAGCCACGCCAUCAUCUCCGACGAGCUGCACUCGGCGGUGACGCGGGAGUGCGACUCCUUCAAGGAGGAGGCCGACGGCGGCAGGCCCGGGAAGGGCUGCUCGUCGGCCGUCCGCGCCUUCAUGGGCGCCUUCGACGACAUCGACAUCUACAGCAUCUACACGCCGACGUGCCUCUCCCCCUCCGCCGGCUCCGCCUCCGCCGCGCCGCGCCCGUCCAGGCUCGUCACCGCGCCCCGCCUCUUCUCCCAGCACGAGGCAUGGCACAUGAUGAGGCGUGCGCCGGCGGGGUACGACCCGUGCACGGAGGCGUACGUGACCAGGUAUUUCAACCGCCAGGACGUGCAGCGGGCGCUGCACGCCAACCGGACGGGCCUCAAGUACCCAUACUCGCCUUGCAGCGCGGUGAUAAGCAAGUGGAACGACUCGCCGGCGACCGUACUCCCCGUCCUGAAGAAGCUCAUGGCCGCCGGGCUGCGCGUCUGGGUCUACAGCGGCGACACGGACGGGAGGGUGCCGGUGACGUCGACGCGGUACAGCGUCAACGCGAUGAAGCUGCGGGCGCGGGCGAGGAGCGGGUGGCGGGCGUGGUUCUACAGGCAGCAGGUAGCCGGGUGGGCGGUGGAGUACGAGGAGGGGCUGACGCUGGUGACGGUGCGCGGGGCGGGGCACCAGGUGCCGCUCUUCGCGCCCGACCGCUCGCUCGCCAUGCUCUACCACUUCCUCCGGGGCCAGCCCCUGCCGGCCGCCGCUCCACGCUAG